rnacentral:rRNA from 1 species
UACGGAGGAUCCAAGCGUUAUCCGGAUUCACUGGGUUUAAAGGGUGCGUAGGUGGGUUGGUAAGUCAGUGGUGAAAUCUCCAGGCUUAACUUGGAAACUGCCAUUGAUACUAUCAAUCUUGAAUACCGUGGAGGUCAGCGGAAUAUGUCAUGUAGCGGUGAAAUGCUUAGAUAUGACAUAGAACACCAAUUGCGAAGGCAGCUGGCUACACGAAUAUUGACACUGAUGCACGAAAGCGUGGGGAUCAAACAGGA